AUUCCUGUGGCGCAGUGGAUAGCGCGUUGGACUUCUAAUCCAAAGGUCCCGGGUUCGAACCCCGACGGGGAUG
rnacentral:tRNA from 1 species